UACGUAGGGGGCAAGCGUUGUCCGGAUUUAUUGGGCGUAAAGAGCGUGUAGGCGGUUAGGUAGGUCCGUUGUGAAAACUCGAGGCUCAACCUCGAGACGUCGGUUGAAACCAUCUGGCUAGAGUCCGGAAGAGGAGUGUGGAAUUCCCGGUGUAGCGGUGAAAUGCGCAGAUAUCGGGAAGAACACCCGUGGCGAAGGCGGCACUCUGGGACGGUACUGACGCUGAGACGCGAAAGCGUGGGGAGCGAACAGG
rnacentral:rRNA from 1 species